CGUGUGCCAUGGACUCAGCCGCCCGGUGAUAUUGACAAUAGGAGAGAGAAAGGGGCAUUGACUGGGACCCACCGCGGGUAGCGAAAGGUGGCUCUGGCAGCGGCGGCUCCAGCUCCUGCGGCUCCUCCUCCUUCUUCUGUCCCCUUCUCUUGCUGCCGCUGCAGAUCCAGUCUUCCUCCCUCCCUUCCUCCCCUCCCCACGUCGUCGCCGCCGCCGCCGCCGCCGGGUCCGGGGCAACGAGCUGAGGCGCCGCCCGCCAGGAAUGUGAGCGAGGAGCCACCGGCGGAGCCGCAACGGGGUCGGUGCGGAUUUGAUGGGACGGGCCCGCGGGGGAGGAUCGUGAGGCCGCCGCCGCCACCGGAAAGCUAAGGUUCGGGUCCGGCCGUGAGGCCUAGAGGCUCCGCCGCCGCGGAACCGGAGGGACCCCGCACCGGACAGCCGUCGCCCCGGGCUCCCCGCAGCUGCCCGGACCUCCCCCUGCACGUCCCGGUCCCGCCGCCCGCCCCCGCUGCGGCCACCUCGCCUGUCUCCCGCCCCUCCAAGCCACAGAUCAUCUUCGGAUUCUUCCCCAGAAGCUUCAAGUAGGGAUAUGUCCUCAGCACCAACUACUCCUCCAUCAGUGGAUAAAGUAGACGGAUUUUCUCGGAAGUCCGUCAGAAAAGCCAGACAGAAGAGGUCGCAAAGUUCCUCACAGUUUAGGUCUCAAGGCAAGCCUAUUGAGUUAACACCUCUGCCACUGCUAAAAGGUAUCUUGCAAUAUAUUCAGAACUCUCCCUCCUAGUGACAGCAAUGAAUUUGAUCCAGAAGAAGAUGAACCUACCCUUGAGGCAUCGUGGCCACACUUACAGCUUGUAUAUGAAUUUUUCAUACGAUUUUUGGAAAGCCAAGAAUUCCAACCCAGCAUUGCCAAAAAAUAUAUAGAUCAGAAAUUUGUAUUACAGCUUCUGGAGCUGUUUGACAGCGAAGACCCUCGGGAACGGGACUACUUAAAAACAGUCUUACACAGAAUUUAUGGCAAGUUUCUUGGUCUUAGAGCAUUUAUCCGAAAACAGAUUAACAAUAUUUUUCUAAGGUUUGUUUAUGAAACAGAACACUUCAAUGGUGUAGCUGAACUGCUGGAAAUAUUAGGAAGUAUUAUCAAUGGCUUUGCUUUACCUCUUAAGGCAGAACACAAACAGUUUCUGGUGAAAGUAUUGAUCCCUUUACACACUGUCAGGAGCUUAUCACUCUUCCAUGCACAGCUGGCAUAUUGUAUAGUACAGUUUCUGGAGAAAGAUCCUUCACUCACAGAACCAGUUAUUAGGGGGUUAAUGAAAUUUUGGCCUAAAACAUGUAGUCAAAAAGAGGUCAUGUUCCUUGGGGAACUGGAAGAAAUAUUGGAUGUUAUUGAACCUUCACAAUUUGUUAAAAUCCAAGAACCUUUGUUUAAACAAAUCGCCAAGUGUGUAUCUAGCCCCCAUUUUCAGGUGGCAGAAAGAGCACUCUAUUAUUGGAAUAAUGAAUACAUCAUGAGUUUGAUAGAAGAAAACUCUAACGUCAUCCUUCCCAUCAUGUUUUCCAGCCUUUAUAGGAUUUCAAAAGAACAUUGGAAUCCGGCUAUUGUGGCAUUGGUGUACAAUGUGUUGAAGGCAUUUAUGGAAAUGAACAGCACCAUGUUUGACGAGCUGACAGCCACAUACAAGUCAGAUCGUCAGCG
rnacentral:sRNA from 1 species